CUAGGGUCAGCCUUGGGGGUUCCCAAGUGUAGGGGAAUCCAUCUCUGUGUCUAUGGUAAGGGCUGGACACCAGGUGAGACCCUGUCUCAAAACAGAAAUAACGAAUAUAAGGUGACUUGCUGGAGGCCACAUGGCCAUGAGCCAAAUACAGCUCUGGGGUAGCAGGGCUCACAUACUUCUGAGUAUACCCUACUGCCUUGGAAUCUGCUGAAGACCAAGCCCCUGCCCCCACGCCAUGGCAGAGGAGGAGGGAAGGAAGCAAAGGUGCCCAUCGGAGACACCUUGGGUGGGGGGAGGCACCCAGGGCCCAGGAAGGCCAAGCAGCAUGUGGCAGGGCAGAUCAGGUGACACCCAAGAAGGAAUGAGGAGAGGCUGUGAGGCAAGAGCCACAGCACAGAGUCCUGCUGUUAGGUCUGCGGAGACCACGGCCCAUGGGACCUGGAUCUACCCUUGAUGCUAAUAAUGUUCUUUGGGGAAAAAAACUAUAAUCACAAAGUUUCUGCAACUGGACCGUAGCAAUGAUUGCAGAGCUGUAUAGAUUUACUAGGAACCAUCAAAUUGUUCACUUACAAUGGAUAAAUUGUACAGUACAUAGGUUAUCCCUCGGUAAAGCUGUAUGAAAUUUAUAGUCAAGAAACCAAUAGUGACAAGGGAGCUGAGAAAGUAGGUCUCAGCCGUGCUGUAGGCACUUUGAGAAGAGGAAGAGUAGAUUUCAGGUUUAUUGAAAGCCUGGCCCAUGACAUCCAGCUUCUGCUUGAAUACUUUCAGUGCCCGGGAGCUCAGUAUCUCAAAGCAGCCCACUCCGGUUUAGGAUAACUCUCUAAUCCUUAGAAUGUCAAAAUAUAUCAUUACCAUUAUUCUUAUACUGCUAUGAAAAAUAAAUGUCUGUGUUUUGCCACA